CCUUUAAACUGACGUUUCGUCCGCUAGUAAAGAUUGGCGGUAGUGCAGACGACGUUGAGCUCAGUUCACAACAGAAAAUAUUUCAGCGUGAAUAACCCUAUAUUUUCUUCUGUUUAACCUAAGCUGAAUGGCCGAAUAAUACAUUAAUAUUUUUCUAUACUAUAUAUACUAUCUCUAAAAUGACAAUUACUCGAGAUUUUCAUUCAUCGAUUUCCUAAAUUCCUAUGUUUUUUUAAGUGUGGUCUAUGUUGCAUAAUACGAAAUUGUGACGUCUACCAUUGCGUCUGCUGGAACGUUAUCUGUCAAAUGCAUUCGAGGAGUUUAUAGUAUUGAUUCAUUUAUGAGUGUUUAGUUUAUCAGUGCAAUAAAUCAUUAGUCUCUACACUAAAUUUAAUUGCCCGUUCAGAGGGUUCUUAUGAGCAACUAAUAGUGAAUUUCCGUCAUUGUUUAAAAAUUUUGCAAAUGAUUAAAAAUGAGUCAAUGAGCAGAUACGGCCCACUUGUCGGUGCUAUUGACGAAGGGACCGGCAGUGCGAGAUUUUUGGUUUUUGCCGCUAAUACAGCAGAGGUGUUGACCUACCAUCAAGUAUCAAUAACGCAAUCGUGUCCGAAGGAAGGAUGGGUUGAACAAGAUCCCUUAGAGAUAUUGAGAGCUGUUCAAGAGUGUCUUGAUCAAACGGUUACAAAUUUACAGCAAUUAACAAUUGAUCCUUCGGAUAUUGUCGCUAUUGGGGUAACAAACCAAAGAGAAACAACAAUUGUCUGGGACUCCGUGACUGGAGAACCAUUGUAUAAUGCCAUAGUAUGGAUGGAUAUGCGAACCACCAGUAUCGUUGAUGAGAUUCUCAAAAAAGUUCGAUAUCAAAAUAAGAAUUACUUAAAACCGUUGUGUGGACUACCAAUUAGUCCAUACUUCAGUGCUUUAAAAUUAAAAUGGCUGCUAAAAAAUGUUCCUCGAGUGAGAGAGGCCAUAAAACAGAAAAGAUGUUUGUUCGGAACGGUAGAUUCUUGGAUUAUUUGGAAUCUAACUGGUGGAAUAAAUGGCGGUGUGCACAGUACAGAUGUGACAAAUGCCUCCAGGACAAUGCUGAUGAAUAUAGAAACCCUUAAAUGGGAUCCAGUGUUGUUGUCCUUUUUUGAUAUUCCUCUUGAUAUACUACCUCAAAUACGUAGUUCCUCAGAAAUCUAUGGCCAUAUUCAAGAAGGAUUGUUGAGGGGGGUUCCUAUAUCAGGAUGUCUAGGAGAUCAACAAUCAGCACUAGUCGGUCAAAUGUGCCUGCAACAAGGCCAAGCAAAAAGUACCUAUGGCACGGGUUGCUUCCUUUUGUACAAUACAGGUUCUGCGAUCGUAGAUUCGUCUCAUGGUUUGUUAACAACAGUUGCUUAUCAAUUUGGUGCCAAUGCACAACCUGUAUAUGCCCUAGAAGGUUCAGUUGCGAUAGCUGGUGCAGUUAUACAAUGGUUGAAAGAAAACUUAGGGAUUUUAACAGAUGUUAAUGAAUGUGAAUCUAUAGUCCAACAAGUUUAUAGCGAUAAUCGAAUUACUUUCGUACCUGCAUUUGCCGGGUUGUAUGCCCCCUAUUGGAGAAAAGAUGCUCGGAGCGUUAUAUGUGGGAUAACAGAGGAUACUAACAGCGCGCAUAUUAUAAAGGCUGCUUUACAAGCCGUAUGCUUUCAGACACGCGAUAUUUUAGAAGCCAUGAAGAAAGAUACUGGCUUGGUAUUAUCGAAACUUUUAGUAGAUGGUGGUAUGACCACAAAUAAUUUACUCAUGCAAAUGCAAGCUGAUAUCUGUGGUGUGCCUGUGGGAAGUCAGGCCAUUAAUGUGUGAAACUACUGCACUGGGUGCUGCGAUUGCUGCUGGCUGCGCAAGUGGUAUACGUAAAUGGGAUGUCAAGCUCGACGCAGCUGUACCAAGCGAUACUUUUAUCCCUUCCAUAACUGAGGAUGUGUACCUGGGUACCUUAAGAAGCUGGGCGUAGUUUGUAUCGUCGAAAGGAAGUCUGCCGUAUACCAUUGUAUACAAAACCACACCCAUGGACCAAAUGUCCGAUAACUGUGGCUGGUAAGGGACACCCCUAAGAAUUUCCGGAGAAGCGUAUGCGUAACUACCGCAAAACGUUUCGCUGAGGGGUGCUAUUCCAUUUUUGGGUUUCAUGUGACCCCGAGCGAAUCCAAAAUCCGAUAAUUUUAUGUUGAAGGCGGAGUCGAUUAACAAAUUCUCGCAUUUUAUAUCCCUAUGUGCAGUUAAAUGAUCCUAUCAAAUUCUGGUACUUGGUCCGUUGUUUUAUUUUCCCUUUACCUGUGAACCACACCUCGUUCAUGGCAAUAAUCGACGGCGUCGAUCAAUUGCCUAAACCAUCGGCGACCUCGUCCUUCGUCUAUGUGAGA